GAUGAACGCUGGCGGCAGGCUUAACGCAUGCAAGUCGAGCGGUAACAGGAAGAAGCUUGCUUCUUUGCUGACGAGCGGCGGACGGGUGAGUAAUGCCUAGGAAUCUGCCUAGUAGUGGGGGAUAACUUGCCGAAAGGUAAGCUAAUACCGCAUACGUCCUACGGGAGAAAGCAGGGGACCUUCGGGCCUUGCGCUAUUAGAUGAGCCUAGGUCGGAUUAGCUAGUUGGUGAGGUAAAGGCUCACCAAGGCGACGAUCCGUAGCUGGUCUGAGAGGAUGAUCAGCCACACUGGGACUGAGACACGGCCCAGACUCCUACGGGAGGCAGCAGUGGGGAAUAUUGGACAAUGGGGGCAACCCUGAUCCAGCCAUGCCGCGUGUGUGAAGAAGGUCUUCGGAUUGUAAAGCACUUUAAGUUGGGAGGAAGGGCUCACGGCUAAUACCCGUUGAGUUUUGACGUUACCAACAGAAUAAGCACCGGCUAACUUCGUGCCAGCAGCC
rnacentral:rRNA from 1 species